rnacentral:misc_RNA from 1 species
AUGUAUAGAUGUAUCCGGUGUAACAAUACGGUGUGUCGUUCGAUAUCGGCUUUGACAGAUUAGCGGUUGUCUGUUAGUUUCCGGAUUUCUAAAAUAUCCAUAAUUAAAUUAUUAGUGUUAUGACACGCGUGCUGAUAUAUCUGACGUAAAAUCACAAAAAAAACUAUCGAAAUAUGGACGCCGAGAACGACGAAGUGUCCCUGAUGCAGCCCGAGACGGAUGCAUCAGCGCGAACGUCAACGCCAACCGAGAACCAUAACCAUAACAAAAUUCGCAGGAGAAAUGUACCGGAACCGACGAAGGAGGACAAUGUAAUCGAUUCAUGUGAUCGUGUACCUCUCGUGAUUCUGCCCGAUUCCACUAAAGCGUGGUACAGUAGUGUUACGCCGCAACUUCCCAAUGACGUGGCUACGUCGAAUAAACAACAAAACGGGGUGCUGACUCACGAAGACGAUCGUGACUCGAACGACAACGACUCUGGUGCAAUGGACCUUUUUACCUCUCAUGAGAAGAUGAAGAUAAGCGUUAUUCGUGGUAGCAUUGCCAAGCCAGAUCUCACGCUAGGAGAACUAAGACUACUUGGCUGCAGUAGUGAAGGCUUCGUUAAUGAUGAUAUACGAAGGAUACUAUGGCCGAAACUCUUGAGACUAGUACAAGAAAAAUUUGAGCCUGUGGAUGGAUUAGAAACUAUACAUACUUAUAUACCAAACGAGGUUUACCAACAGAUAUUAAAGGACGUAGCACGUAGUGGCAGUCAUAUUUCACAUAAUGCAACGGAAAAAGAAACUGAAAGUUUUCAAGAACAAUUAACACAGCUCAUGUGUUGGGUACUUCAUAGACAUUCUCAAUUAAAUUACUACCAGGGAUAUAACGAUGUGGCAGCAACUGUGUUACUUGUAAUGGGAUUGCAAGCAGGCUUAUAUGUACUCGAGAGUAUAUCUCUAGAAUUCCUGGAAAGAUUUAUGGAAAAGACAAUGGAAAAAGUAAAUCAAGAGUUAUUCUUCAUAUUCGCAUUACUGGAACGAGUGCACCCAACACUUUUGGAACAUUUAGAAAAUGUAGAACUGUUUCCACACUUUGCUUUGGCUGAAUAUACAACAUGGUACGCACACAAGUAUGCAGAACAUAGGAAAUUGUUACAUAGAUUAUUUGAUUAUUUCCUGGGUAGUCCGCCACUCAUGCCUCUCUAUUUGAGUACAGUAAUUGUUGCACAUAGAGCUACUGAAAUCUUCAACACUACGCCUGAUAUGGGACAUACGCAUAAGGUAUUGUGUACGUUACCCGAUGACUUGCCAUUUGAAACACUUUUAGUAGAAGCAAGGGAUUUAUAUCGACAAUAUCCUCCUGAAUCUAUCACUAACGAUGUUAGAGAUUAUGAUCAUAAGAGGAAAAUAAAAGAGCAAGAGUGGAAGGCAAAAGCAGAGGCAAGCCGUCAAGAGAGAGAAAGGCAACGAAAAUUAAAAGUUGUCCAAUCGACACCAAGGAUAUCUUAUCGUAUCAGAAGUUAUAAAACCAUCACUGUUAUGACUAUUUUGGUUUUGGGAAUAUAUGCCUUUAUAAGAUCCUCCACAGGGCUUAACUGACAUUAAGAGAUAUAUCAGCCGUUGUAAAAAACUGGCAUUUUUACACGUUUUUUAAAACAGAAAUCCUCCAUCUCUUUCAUAUGCCGCUAAACAGAAAUUGAAGUGUCAAGGCUGAACAACUGAACUUCACCAAAGUAAUAAAGGAACAAGAAAAUACAUGAAUCAGAAUCUUGUGCAUUCCUAUGCUGCCUUUAUGCUGUGUUCUUUGCAGGCUGAUCUGAACUCUUGUGCGUGUUAAUAUUAAAAAAGAAUCGCAAGUAUGUAAAAAAUGUAGAAAAACGGCAAUUCUAAGUAUUCAAAUUGCUGAGAGCUCGAACGUGAAGUAAUAAAACUGAACAGCAUGUAUGAAAACAUUUCGUACAUGUGAUACAUGUAUAUAAGAAAUAAAUAAUAAUAUAAUAGAUUGUAAUUAUGUUGAUAUAAUCCGUGAUGAAGGAAUUUUAUGUAUUUAAUUAAAAAGGCAGAGAAAAAUCAUGAUAAUCAUUACGAUCAAUAAUAAAAAUGUCUUGUUUUUCAAUAA